rnacentral:lncRNA from 1 species
AACCUACAUGAAUCUCUUCGGUUUGACCUCCCGAAACUUCCCAUACCAUCAAUUUCAACAAUCCAUUAACGAGUCGAAAACCCCCAAAUUCAAAACCCUAAUUACUAACUUCUGUUAGUCAAAAACUGACGGAGGGACCUGAAUUGGAAAUUUACAAAGUUUGAGGAUGCAUAAAUUGACAAACUUAGUUCAAGGAUGCGAAUCAAAAAUGGACCAAAGUUCAAGGACGUAUAAAUUAAUUAUCCCU